rnacentral:lncRNA from 1 species
GGGCCCCCACCAGCCCGCCGAACCUGCUUCUUUUGCUGUCUUGAAUCCCGCCCUCUUCUCCUCGCCCAACUUCUCCCAAACCCGCCUUCCCAGAACCUGGACAAUGAGUCCACUUGCAGUACCAGCUUUAGGCCCAGAGGAGACAUGAGACAUCAAUCAACAUAUGUAAAAUGAACAUUGGUUUGGACUCUGAGGUGAGGAGGGAGCUUGGAGGCUUUCAGAUCACAGGUUCGGGAUGGCACGUUCCUAAUUCCCUCUUGACCACAAAAUGUGAGGAUCUAGCCUCAAAUCUGCAACGCUUGCGUCUAAGAAAAAAAUUGUUUUUAAAUUUCCAUUUAACAGAAAUACAGAUGCAGAGCCAUAUAA